rnacentral:lncRNA from 12 species
CCCAGAAAGUGCUGCGAGGAUUGUUUUUGGAGUUCCAAAUGGAUUCUAGCGAGUAGGCAAAUUUGCAAACACGUGAAUAAUGAGGAGUCACUGUAUUAUGAUGUGAGGAGAGGCUGAAAGCAGACAUAAAAGCCCCUCACAGACAGAGCAGCAAGUGGAGCUCGGAGCUGGUCUAAAACACUGCUGAAAAGGAGACUUUCUCCAAGGAAGACCUGCCGAAGUGUGGUCAUUCAGCAAAUUGACUGGUAUAGUGGACCAACAUAGUCUGGCAGAAGGCGCAGGGAGAAAUCUUCUAAAUGCUACACACUACCACUCACCUGAAGCAACGGUGAAGCAAUCAUAUACCUGUAGUCCCAGCCAUGUGAUCACUUCACUUAGGUAAGUGGUGUA